rfam:Helianthus annuus linkage group 16, whole genome shotgun sequence.
AUCCGGUGAUGGGGUAAAAUUUUUACCGACUCUUUGAACCGUUCAUAUACUUCAGAGAGGGAUUCAUCAUCUUUUUGCUCAAAAGCAUUGUUAAUCCUUAUGAU